rnacentral:lncRNA from 1 species
UAGAGGCUGCUCCAGAUGGUAGCAAGGUGUCUGUAGGUAAUUCCCCUGUCUCAUACAUGUGAGGCAGAGAGCAUAUUUUCACAGAGCCUUGAAAUAGGCAUUAGCAGAGAAAUGACUUAGCUGAUCAUGCACUACGUAAGUAUGACUGCUUCCCAAGACCAAACAUCAGACAGAGCGUCACACCAGGAAAGGGCCAAAACUACUGUGUCAGUAUUGGAGAGCAUGGUUAAUAGCAUCAGCACUGUGUAGAAAGCAUCCACUUACAUUAUGUUACUGAAACUGCAUUGUCACAGAAUUAGUGAGUAAGAAAACUAGAGAUUCCUAUGAUUCCAAAUAUCUUUCUUCCAAAAGGGAAAACUUCUUGUUUGGUGACUGCUGACACUUUUCAG